CAGUAGCCGCGGUAAUACGUAGGUGGCAAGCGUUGUCCGGAAUUAUUGGGCGUAAAGGGCUCGCAGGCGGUUUCUUAAGUCUGAUGUGAAAGCCCCCGGCUCAACGGGGGAGGGUCAUUGGAAACUGGGAAACUUGAGUGCAGAAGAGGAGAGUGGAAUCCCACGUGUAGCGGUGAAAUGCGUAGAGAUGUGGAGGAACACCAGUGGCGAAGGCGACUCUCUGGUCUGUAACUGACGCUGAGGAGCGAAAGCGUGGGGAGCGAACAGGAUUAGAUACCCCCGUAGUCCCUGUCUCUUAUAC
rnacentral:rRNA from 1 species